GUGCACUUGUUUUCCAACAACUGAAUUGAGUUUCCUUAAAAGAUGAACCAUAUUUGACAUUACAUAAACAUACCAUACAGACCCCAACGAGGACAAAACUUUUGGUUUGAAGAAUAAGAAAGGAGCAAAGCAACAGAAGUUUAUCAAGGCUGUCACACAUCAAGUUAAAUUUGGUCAACAAAAUCCACGUCAGGUAGCACAGAGUGAAGCUGAAAAGAAAUUGAAGAAGGAUGACAAGAAAAAAGAAUUGCAGGAGCUAAAUGAGCUGUUCAAACCUGUAGUUGCUGCUCAAAAAAUAAGUAAAGGUGCAGAUCCCAAGUCUGUGGUAUGUGCAUUCUUCAAGCAAGGACAGUGUACUAAAGGCGAUAAGUGUAAGUUCUCCCAUGACUUGACUCUGGAGAGAAAAUGUGAAAAGCGAAGUGUUUACAUUGAUGCAAGAGAUGAAGAACUUGAAAAAGAUACUAUGGAUAAUUGGGAUGAGAAAAAGCUGGAAGAAGUAGUGAACAAGAAGCACGGUGUGCAAGCAUUUCCUUGAAGCUAUUGAAAACAACAAG
rnacentral:sRNA from 1 species